CACAAAAUUUCACGGAUUCUUUUAUUCAUUUUCAUUUCCCCGCUCCUCUGCUUCUUCUUCGGCUCUUCUUUAACCAGCUGUCGUUGCUCCUCCUCUUCGUGCCUCAUCACUGCUGCUCUUCCUCUCCUCUUCCUUCCGCGUCGCUCCUCCUUCUCCCACCGCCAUUGAGCUCUACCUUCUUCCAGAUCGAACUAAUUCAGUGGCUAUAGGCAAACUUGAGAUGGUGAUUAUAGAGUUGGUGAUGGAGAGUUGUUUAUUCAUGGGUUGGUGAUGAUCCAUGUGGAGAUGGUGAUUAUAGAGUUGUUACUGGAUUGGAAGUUUAUGCAGUGUCAAUUGUUGGGCCAUUUCCCAUUGCUGUUACUAAUCUAUUGGAUCUUCAGAGGUUGGACCUCCACAACAAUAAGUUCACAGGACCUAUUCCUCCUCAAAUCGGACAACUGAAGCGUCUGAAAAUUCUUUGGCAAAGAAAUAUCAUCCAGAUACGAAUAAGAAUAAUCCUUCUGCGAAGAGGACGUUUCAAGAGAUAAGAGAUGCUUAUGAGAAUUCUUUCAAUGUUGAAAAUGACCAGUCAAGAAAAAAUAUUUCUAAAAGUUGUGGGCAUAAGAUUCAGGGAUUUCAAGGCCAAGUUAGUGAGUGGUUGGAUUACUAAAAUGAAACAGAGAGUUUGAAAUCAGUGAAGUGUGCACAACAAACGGGCAAUACAAAGUGCGGCUACUACGUGAUGAAGUUCAUGUACGAUAUAGUCACAAGAUCUCGAAAAGGUAUUCAAUAAUCCAAGGGAGAAGGCCUUUCACCUUUGAGGAGAUAGAUGAAGUUCGAGAAAUGUUGGAAAUUUUCAUUACCAGUGAUUGUCUUUGAUAUUUUCUUGUACUGGAUCUUAAAUUACGGAUGCUAGCUGGUUUUUCAUAUGAUUGUAAUGUAAUCGAUUUUUAUAUUUACAAUUAUAUAUUAUUUAAUUUAAUUAUCUAUAUAAUUGGAUACUUUUUAUA